UUACAUCAGCAGUCAUCUCCGUGAUAGAGUGUGGUUGGCGCCAACCUCCUUGCCAGGCGCCCGCUUGGACAUCCUCUCCAACCGAGUGGCUAAUACACGGUCGCAACGGUCCGCCGCGCGCACGGCGAUGUCAGCGGUCAACCCUCUCCGGUCCCACUGGCCCCUCGCCGGUGGCGGAUUGCGCCCAGCCGUCUGAGAAGACCAGCGCCUGGAACAUGGCAGUGCGUCGCAGCUGACUCAGGCUGGUCCCCCCGUGGACGGCCGCGCUGGCAGAGUGGUGGCCCCCGGCCACGGCUUCCUGCUUGAUCACACGGACUUCUGACCUAUCAGCUUCGACUGUGGUGUCGUGGACCACAGUGGCAGUGACGGGUGACGGAGAAUCAGGGUUCGAUUCCGGAGAGGGAGCCUGAGAGAUGGCUACCACUACCAAGGUGGGCAGCAGGCACGCAAAUUGCCCAAUGCUGACACGAUCUCUGGUGAGGCAGCGACGAACUGCAGCAAUCCCGCCUGUCCUCCGUGACCGGUGGGACUUGGAAUGGAUGCAAUCCAAACACAGUGAUGAGUAUCGACUGGAGGGCAAGUCUGGUGCCAGCAGCUUGCGGUAAUUCCAGCUCCAAGAGUGUACACUAACAUUGCUGCGGUUAAAACGCCUGUAGUCGGACGCUGGGCGUGGGUCUGCGAGGCGGCCGGUGGCGUGGGCGGGGUCCGUGGCGGCGCGGUCCGGCGUUUCGGCGUCGGUCCCGCGUCGUGGCGGGCCUCCGUUUCCGGCGCCGGACUCAACCCCUCGCAGUACGUUCCCACGCCCGACGAGUCUCCCAAGGAUGGUGCGAUUGCCCCUGCUCAAAGUCUCCUUCAGUGGGGAUCGAUGCGGUUGUACGCCCAACGCUCGUGUGCCUGACGCCCGAGGCACGGCCGCGCGCCGUGUACUCUUCCUCCGUCCACCGCCGGGGUCCACCAUCGCUGUCACCGUGGAAAACUCAGUGUGCCCAACGCGUCCGCUCUCGGCUGGAUGCCCGUCCAUGGAAUGUCAAAGCAUCGACCUGGUUCUUGGCCUUCUGGAGUUGUGCUGGCCUUGGUGCCGUACCAGGGGAACGUGGGGUCGCUCCCCGUUCGCCACCGGUCCGUUCUCCGCGGGUCCGUGCGCGGGGGUCCCCGUCCGGCCGGCAGAUGCCGCGCCCCCUCCGGGGGGCGUGGGCGGCCGCGCCGGUGCGGGCCCCGCGUGAGCGGCCGUCGGAAGGGGCCCGGCGUUCGGUGGUUGCGGCUCCGAUCGGCCACGAUGGGACUGCUCGAGGUGGAGGAUAUUACGGCGCCAGAGGUGAAAUUCUUAGACCGCUGUGGGAUCAACUGCGGCGAAGGCGCUCUGCAAGUGCACGUUCGUCGAUCAAGGACGAGAGUGUGGGGAGCAAAGAUGAUCAGACACCGUCGUAGUCCACAACUGUAAACCAUGCCGACUCGGCGUCGGAGGCGCAUCGACAUCGAGACGUCUUCGGCGCCACGCCCCCUUCAACGAGAAAUCCAAGUCUGUGGGUUCCGGGGGGAGUACUGUCGCAAGGCUGAAACUUAAAGGAAUUGACGGAAUGGCACCACCAGGCGUGGAGUAUGCGGCUUAAUUUGACUCAACACGGGGAAUGUUACCAGGUCAGGACGUCGCUGGGAUGGACAGACCGAGAGCUCUUUCUUGAUUCUUCGGAUGGUGGUGCAUGGCCGCUCCUGAUUGGUGGAGUGAUUUGUCUGGCUGAUCCCGAUAACGAGUGAGACAUCUGCCUUCCACUAGCCCCGGCCUCGCAUUCGGUAGAGUGGGCGCGGCGCACCGCCCCCCGCCACCCCCGCGUUCGCGCGGGGGCCGGGGCCAGCGACGCCGUCUGCCGCUCGAGAGGCUCACCGGGAUUCCGCUUCUCUGAGGUGCUGCGCACGCCACCAAGUGCAUCGCAUGCUAGAGCCAACAGCAGGUCUGUGAUGCUCCCAGAUGUCCUGGGCCGCACGCGCACUACACUGGACCGGUGAGUAUGUUGCUCCACUCGCUCGUCGAGACCUGCCCGGACGUGGGUGGGAAACCCUGGGAGUCCGCUCCGUGCUGGGGAUAGAUGCUUGCAACUGUCUGCCUUGAACGAGGAAUGCCUAGUAGGCGUGGGUCAUCAGCCCGCACCGAUU
rnacentral:rRNA from 1 species